rnacentral:rRNA from 1 species
UUGGAGGGCAAGUCUGGUGCCAGCAGCCGCGGUAAUUCCAGCUCCAAUAGCGUAUAUUAAAGUUGUUGCAGUUAAAAAGCUCGUAGUUGAAUUUCGGGAUCAAUAUGUUGGUCGUGCCUUGGUACGUACUGGCAUUAUCGAUUCCUACCUUCUGAAGAACCUCGAUGUCAUUAAUUUGGUGUCUUGGGGAAUCAGGACUGUUACUUUGAAAAAAUUAGAGUGUUUAAAGCAGGCUCGCGCUUGAAUACAUUAGCAUGGAAUAAUGAAAUAGGACGUUUGAUUCUAUUUUGUUGGUUUUUAGGAUCGACGUAAUGAUUAAUAGGGAUAGUUGGGGGCAUUAGUAUUCAAUUGUCAGAGGUGAAAUUCUUGGAUUUAUUGAAGACUAACUACUGCGAAAGCAUUUGCCAAGGAUGUUUUCAUUAAUCAAGAACGAAAGUUAGGGGAUCGAAGACGAUCAGAUACCGUCGUAGUCUUAACCAUAAACUAUGCCGACUAGGGAUCGGAUGAUGUUAAUUUUUUAAUGACUCAUUCGGCGCCUUACGGGAAAC